UGGGAAUAUUGCACAAUGGGGGAAACCCUGAUGCAGCAACGCCGCGUGAAGGAUGAAGUAUUUCGGUAUGUAAACUUCGAAAGAAUAGGAAGAAUAAAUGACGGUACUAUUUAUAAGGUCCGGCUAACUACGUGCCAGCAGCCGCGGUAAUACGUAGGGACCAAGCGUUGUUCGGAUUUACUGGGCGUAAAGGGCGCGUAGGCGGCAAUUCAAGUCAUCUGUGAAAUCUCCGGGCUUAACUCGGAACGGUCAGAUGAUACUGCUUUGCUAGAGUGCAGAAGGGGCAAUCGGAAUUCUUGGUGUAGCGGUGAAAUGCGUAGAUAUCAAGAGGAACACCUGAGGUGAAGACGGGUUGCUGGGCUGACACUGACGCUGAGGCGCGAAAGUGUGGGUAUCAAACAGGAUUAGAUACCCGAGUAGUCCCUGAGCGGGCUGGCAAGGCGCAU
rnacentral:rRNA from 1 species